UACAAACUCGUCCUGUUCACAGUCCAUAUUACAGGUUUAUUUGAAAAAUUAAGUCCUUUAAAAAAAAUUCUGCAUUACCUUCCAUUGGAAACAUGUCUUGAAUAUCAUAGAUGAAGAUCAGAAGCCUAAGAGAGCAGAUGAGACACAAGCCAAUCAGGCAACCAAAUGAUAAGGACAUCAACUUUUUGCACAUAUCUAUGGCACUUUUGUCUCAAGCUCCACUCUCAAACUUCCCUUCUUGACGAAAAGUUAUAGCUACCAUCCCAUAUUUAAUAUCAUAACUGAAACUUCAAAUCAUACAUCGAAUAAUAAAGUAAGAGACUUUCAAUCAAAAUUCAAAAUAGAUUUCAUUAGAAUUUAGAAUUUCAAGAGCUGACCUUGAAGCUUUGUCAUUGAUUUGCUUAAACAAUACAGCUCAUUUCCUUGUCUUCUUUGACUAAUCAAUCAAGAUUAAAGGAAAUAAAAAAAAUCAAUGAGCAUAAUUUGAACUUAAUCGUUCGAGAUUAGCUAAAUUCCUUUGAGUUGAGCUUUUCUUAACAAUCAGUGGCAAAUUCCCAACAUGAACAAUUAUAAGAGCUUACUCUUUACUUCGAAUCUUCCCUUCAAAACCAUCUUAUCCUCUACUUUCUGCCUCGUCUCACCAAGUGUCUUCUCUAUGUUGUCGUACUUCUUCUUUGUGCUCAAACAGUGCUGUGUUCUUCCUUGUUCUUCCUUGUUCUUGUUGAUUUCUACCCGAGACUUCAAGUCUCAAUCCUUUAUUCCGGUGGUAGCGUUGUCAUCGGUGGGUAUGCCUUUAUUCAAAGAAAAUGAAUCAAUGUCUAUGUAAACAAAAUCAGAAUGAAUUCAAUACAAGGAAUAUAAUGCAAUUUUCAAAAACCCAUAAAUCAAAGAGGAGAUGAAGAAUAAAAAAUCUUACCUAUUGACUUGUGGAAUUUUGAGUCAUAUUAGAAAGCAUUGGAAAUUGUUUGAGAUUCCAUCUUUUCAACUUUUAAAAUGGAAAUUAAUUUGCAGUUCAUUAUGAACCAUAAAUUAAUAUGCACUUCUCUUUCAGUUUCUGUGUUCAAUUAAAAACGAAAUUAGUAUAAUUUAAUAAUUUAAUUCUCUCAUAAUUUUUUUUAAUCUGAUGUGUCAAAAAAAUAGAUGCUGAUGUGUCAAGAUUGUGAGACUCAACUGAGUCUUUAUAUAAUAGAUAAGAUGAUUUAUAUGUUUAAUGUAACUUCAAAUAUAUUAUACAUUAGUCGGAUUUAGCUAUGUUAUAACUGGAUUUAUAAUAGUCAGAAUAUAUGUUAUAACUGGCUAGUCGGACUUAUUCAUUAGUCGGAUUUAGCUAUGUUAUAACUGGCUAGUCGGACUUAUUCAUGAUAGAUUAUAAUUGAUCAAUAUAUAUAUAUAUAUAUAUAUAUCAUAUAUGCUGUAGUCGAGCUUAUAGAUAAUAUAUAGCUAGAUCUUUACAUGUUACAGUCGAAUUCAUAAAUAUUAAUUAUUAAAUUUAUAAAAUUUGGUUAGAUUAAUUAGUAUAUAGUCACAUAUAUAGAUACUAUGUACUUUGAACCAAAAAAAAUAGAUACUAUGUACAUACAUACAUUGUUAUUGGUUAAUCAAGUAGAAUACUCAAGCAAAUUAAUUUAGGUUUUUAAUCCAAACAAGAUGGUCUAGUUGUCGUUGUACCAGGACCUAUGGAAAGGGGAUUGCACCCCUCUAACCUUAAGUGCACUUGAGAUCGAUUUCCACUAGGAACAAAAUCGUUUUGUUUGAGUAGACCAUCUCCAUCCCUUAGCUUUAAAAUGCCAUUAAAAAUAAAUCAAAAUCAUUAAAACCUUAAGAACUGGAUGAUAAAGCUCUAAUAUAAGGAUCACUUUUUAAUGAGUUGUUAGACACUUUUAAAACUUAUAUUGAUUUGGAAAAAUUUAAGCUAAAAAGAAGGAUUUCUUAAUGUUUAAUAUUCACAAAAUUAUUAUUAAAAAAAAAAUAGCAUCCCCCAUAGAGUCUAACCAGAUUUUGCAUAAGAAAGGGAUGGAGAAUUGGAGAUGCUCUUAAACUUCUAAAUUUAUGCGCAUGCUUAAUCCGUGGUGGCCUUGUUGGACAAUCCUGUCAAAGAGCUUGCUCACUCGCGAUAGUAGUUUUUUUUU
rnacentral:lncRNA from 1 species